rnacentral:misc_RNA from 1 species
GGAAGUAAAAGUCGUAACAAGAUUUCCGUAGGUGAACCUGCGGAAGGAUCAUUAUUGUAUAACCGAGGUGCGAGGGCUGUCGCUGACCCGAAAGGUCGUGCACGCCCGAGUGCCCUCACACACAUCCAUCUCACCCCUAUGUGCACCACCGCGUGGGUCCCCCUUUGGCUUGUUCGGAGGGGGGCUUACGUUUUCACACAAACUUUGUAUGCAGUGUAGAAUGUACUUUUUGUUUUUGCGAUCACGCAAUCAAUACAACUUUCAACAACGGAUCUCUUGGCUCUC